rnacentral:rRNA from 1 species
AUGCUCUUCACCCACGGCAGCCGGAAGUCCCACUCCAGCUCCGGGUACAGGAACGGCGCGAUGAAGCCGCCGCUCGCCGCGUCCACGUGGAUCGCCGUCUCCCACCCUGUCUCCUUGUUCUUCUCUUCGAGCAGGUCGUUGAUGCGCUUCACGUCCUCGAACUCGCCGUUGAGCGUCGAGCCUAGGAUCGCCGCGACGCAGAUGGUGUUCUCGUCGACCAUCUCCACCGCCUGCUCCGGGUCCAUCACGUAG